ensembl:snoRNA Gm22890 small nucleolar RNA SNORA48
UGCCCCUGGCAUUGGGCAAAGAGACACCUUGUUGGUGCUGUUCUUAUAUCAGUCAGGGGCAGAGCAGAUGGCAGGCAGGCCUUUGUGCAUCCUAGCUUGAUACCUGGCUUAGUGGCCACAGCUGUCAUAUGCCUAGGACUUAUAA